rnacentral:rRNA from 1 species
GAUGAACGCUAGCUACAGGCUUAACACAUGCAAGUCGAGGGGCAGCACAGUGUAGCAAUACACGGGUGGCGACCGGCGCACGGGUGCGUAACGCGUAUCCAACCUUCCCGUUACUCUUGGAUAGCCUUCCGAAAGGGAGAUUAAUACAAGAUGGUAUUCAAAUUCCGCAUGUUAUUUGAAUUAAAGAUUUAUCGGUAACGGAUGGGGAUGCGUGACAUUAGAUAGUAGGCGGGGUAACGGCCCACCUAGUCUACGAUGUCUAGGGGUUCUGAGAGGAAGGUCCCCCACACUGGAACUGAGACACGGUCCAGACUCCUACGGAAGGCAGCAGUGAGGAAUAUUGGUCAAUGGUCGGAAGACUGAACCAGCCAAGUAGCGUGAAGGAUGAAGGUUCUAUGGAUUGUAAACUUCUUUAUACGGGAAUAAAACCACCUACGUGUAGGUGCUUGUAUGUACCGUAUGAAUAAGCAUCGGCUAACUCCGUG